rnacentral:rRNA from 1 species
GACGAACGCUGGCGGCGUGCUUAACACAUGCAAGUCGAACGGAAAGGCCCUGCUUUUGUGGGGUGCUCGAGUGGCGAACGGGUGAGUAACACGUGAGUAACCUGCCCUUGACUUUGGGAUAACUUCAGGAAACUGGGGCUAAUACCGGAUAGGAGCUCGUGCUGCAUGGUGGGGGUUGGAAAGUUUCGGCGGUUGGGGAUGGACUCGCGGCUUAUCAGCUUGUUGGUGGGGUAGUGGCUUACCAAGGCUUUGACGGGUAGCCGGCCUGAGAGGGUGACCGGCCACAUUGCCACUGAGAUACGGCCCAGCCUCCUACGUGAGGCAGCAGUGGGGAAUAUUGCACAAUCGGCGGAAGCCUGAUGCAGCAACGCCGCGUGCGUGAUGACGGCCUUCCGGUUGUACACCGCUUUCGCCUGUGACGAAGCGUGAGUGACGGUAAUGGGUAAAGAAGCACCGGCUAACUACGUG